CCUACGGGGGGCAGCAGUCUAGAGGCUUCGACAAUGCCCGAAAGGGUGAUCGAGCGACGCCGCGUGUGGGAUGAAGGUUUUCGGAUUGUAAACCACUUUUGUUUGGGAAGCGGUACCAAACGAAUAAGCCCCGGCUAACUCCGUGCCAGCAGCCGCGGUAAGACGGAGGGGGCAAGCGUUGUUCGGAAUCAUUGGGCGUAAAGGGCUCGUAGGCGGACUAGUAAGUCUGGCGUGAAAUCUCACCGCUCACCGGGGAGAGGUCGCUGGAUACUGCUAGUCUUGAGUUCGGUAGAGGGUCGUGGAAUUUCGGGUGUAGCGGUGGAAUGCGUAGAUAUCCGAAAGAACACCGGUGGCGAAGGCGGCGACCUGGCCGAACUGACGCUGAGGAGCGAAAGCUAGGGGAGCAAACGGGAUUAGAUACCCCAGUAGUC
rnacentral:rRNA from 1 species